AGUGGCGGACGGGUGAGUAACGCGUGAGAAUCUGCCUUCAGGAGGGGGACAACAGUUGGAAACGGCUGCUAAUACCCCGUAAGUCUACGGAUAAAACGGUUAAUUCCGCCUGAAGAUCAGCUCGCGUCGGAUUAGCUAGUUGGUGGGGUAAAGGCUUACCAAGGCGACGAUCCGUAGCUGGUCUGAGAGGAUGAUCAGCCACACUGGGACUGAGACACGGCCCAGACUCCUACGGGAGGCAGCAGUGGGGAAUUUUCCGCAAUGGGCGAAAGCCUGACGGAGCAACGCCGCGUGCGGGAGGACGGCCUGUGGGUUGUAAACCGCUUUUCUCAGGGAAGAAGAUCUGACGGUACCUGAGGAAUCAGCAUCGGCUAACUCCGUGCCAGCAGCCGCGGUAAUACGGAGGAUGCAAGCGUUAUCCGGAUUUAUUGGGCGUAAAGCGUCCGCAGGCGGCUAAUCAAGUCUGCUGUUAAAGGCCGAGGCUUAACUUCGGUUGAGCAGUGGAAACUGAUUAGCUAGAGUGCGAUAGGGGUAGAGGGAAUUCCCAGUGUAGCGGUGAAAUGCGUAGAUAUUGGGAAACACCAGUGGCGAAGGCGCUCUACUGGGUCGCAACUGACGCUGAGGGACGAAAGCUAGGGGAGCGAAAGGGAUUAGAUACCCC
rnacentral:rRNA from 1 species